GUGCUCACUUGAGCAGCACAUAUACUAAAAUUGGAACGAUAUAGAGAAGAUUAGAAUGGUCCCUGCACAAAGACGACAUGCAAAUUCAUGACGUUGAUACAUCGUGG